CAUUGGUGUACACUUUGACCUGUUCCAGAUGUCCGCCGCCCCGUCUGUGGCGGAUUUGUAUGACCAGAAGACAGGCAUGUAUACCACAGCCGUGGGCUCCUACAGGGCGUGGUCUAUUGACGUUGAUCUCGGACCGCCCUGUCCCUCAACACCCGUCCCCUUGGAGGAUGUUCAUGUUUUAAACUACUAUGACGCGCUUCAGUAUUCCUUAUACGAGAACAAUUUUCCGGAAACGGUCGACAGGACCGACACACCGCGGAGAGAAUUCAAGAGCGAUGACGUCACCAUCGCCUUGCUAUCGUCACCAGUAGAAUGCUUUGCAAUUUUACUGGCAGGAGGGCAAAUAUGCCCACGUGAUAUGCUGCUUGUGAUGUCAUCAUCAUGGGUGACAAAGGUCAGGUCUACGAAAAAUCCAGAAUUGUUUUCUCUUUACGUCCAUAAGGCGAUAACCAUGGACGUUGCAGGACAAUCGUUCCUGGACACGUUCAAUCCACCUCGUCGGGUAACGUAUUUCCUAAAUUACUUCACGCGCGCGUGCACGGAUGGUCAAAGAUCAGAUGGGGAGACGCUUGAGUCCGGUCUAGACUGCCCAAUGUCCAGUUCUCUUAAUUUGGUCAAAAACGUGGACGACAAAGUGUGGACUCGGACACUAUUGGCCAACGUCGAUGCUGACUACCCAGAAACGCUAGCCUUCACCUACAAAUGUCGAAUGAAUUAUGACGUAGCUUCCGGAUCGGAUAUUACUGUCAUCAAGCUAGACACAAAAACCGGAACGUCGAACCAGAUACACGAACAGGUUCAGAGAUUUCUUAACACGGCAAAUGUUCUACUGAGACAUAAGGUUGUGGUUAAACCUUCUGGAGUUAUUUGGCAUGGGAGUCUUGGUGUGACGUAUCAUGCUCGAAGUGACGUCAUUGGCAUUGUUGAGGCUGUCGUUCAUCUCCUGAAGGACAUGGAACCAGAAAACGGCAUCCUCGUGGAGACGUUCUACGCUCCGCCCAUUCAGAAUUACAAACAUUUCGCUGAGCUCUCGUUCCGGUUGAGGUCGACGGUGUGUAGAGGAUUCGGUGACCGUCCGAUAACAACUACCCUUAUAUGUGGUGUGGGACCGAGGGACAAGCCUAUCAAUGGCGAUAACACGAUCCCUCAAACGUUUGACACGACGCUGCGCUCAUGUGGAGUUACAAACGCCGAGGAGAGAAAGCGUCUUCGUGACAGGACUUCAAAAAUAUCAGAGGAUCUUCUCGGAGAGAUGAUUAAAAUAGAAAAGGAAAUGACGUCACUAGAACGUGGAGGUGUUGGGGGUCAAACAGAUAUUGUGGGACUAGAUUUCGUUCUCGGAGAGAAAGGCGGUAUUUUGACCCCGAUUGCCAUAGAGGUCAACAGUCACGACUGCACAAUUAACUGUCAGCUGUUCGAAUCAAUGAACCAUGAAACCCAAGGAUGUUCAGUUGGCCCCCUCGUGGAAAAUAUGGCGCAUCGAUCCCAGCGCCACAUAAUGCAGGGGAAGACAAUCCUUGUCAUUGGUGCGGGUGGCUUCAGUAAACGUUUUAUCUGGAAAGCAGCGCGGGAUUACGGAAUCAAGGUUUUUCUCGUGAACGAUGUUCCAGAUUCCUUUGUGUCCAGGGACGUGGACAAAUUCAUUCAAUAUGAUUUCUCCGACCAUAUGCAGGACGACCGGCACGCAAGAAAUAUCAUCCAACUUGUUUCGUCCGACAUUGACGUCGUCGACGGAUGCUGUACAUUCUGGGAAGACUGUGGCCCCCUUGCGGCCAAUAUUUGCGACAAAAUGCAUUACAGUGGUGCCAGUCUACAGGGGGCGCUGAUCGCCAAAAAGAAGAGUUCCACUCAGCAGUUAUUAAGGCAGCGAACAGCUGAUAUUCCACACUUCCCUCGAACGUAUUUGUAUACAGGAAGAUCAGCUGCUAUACGAACAUCCGAGGAAAUUGACACGGCCGCAACGCAUGUUAGAUUCCCUGCCGUCCUGAAACUUGAAUACGGUUCCAGUGCCAUAGGGGUCAAGCUUGUCAAUGACGAAGAAGAGUGCCGAAUCGAGUACGAAAAAAUCCGAAGUUGUCUUCGGCAGGAGUCGGAUCAUCCCGGCAUAGGUCUAGGAUACGGAAAUGACAUGAUGCUGAUGGAGUACUACGAAGGAACAGAACACGACAUCGAUAUCAUCAUCUACAAACGACGACUCAUCGCCGCUUUUAUUUCCGAUAAUGGCCCAACUAGACAAGGAAAUUUUACAGAAACAGCAGCCUCUAUGCCGACAUGCCUCCCACCGGACAAAUCUGGACAGCUGACAACAGCGGCAUACCAAUGUUGUACAGAAGUCGGACUCACAAACGGUGUUUUUAACGUCGAAAUGAUUAUGACGCCAACAGGUCCAAAACUGUUGGAGAUAAAUGCCCGGAUGGGUGGGUUCUACCUCAGAGAUUGGAUCAAAGCUUGCUAUGAUGUUGAUUUACUUCUCUGCUCUUUCAUGAUCGCGGCCGGCGUUAAGCCAAUCUUGCCUCGAACCAUUACGCCUCGUUGCCAUAUCAUGGGAGUUAUGUGCGUUCCCUCGGCCCACAGGGAGACACUGUCCCGUGUCGAUAUCACGAACAAAAUUUACAGUCUGCACGAAUCUCACAAAGUUCGUUACAAUGAGUUGGACGCAGAGGAAAGUUUAGACGCAGACGAAGAUGUUGAAGAACCUUUCUCUAAUUUCGCCGUGGUGGCCGAUGAUUUGGAAACGGCAAAGUCUGAACUGAUCAGAUUAUGUUCAGAACUUGAAAUAAACAAUUCGUCUUACGACGUUCCGGCUUAUGUUUCCCAAUUCCAUCCGAACACCGACGAAUACAUGUUAUGUUAAAACUCGCAAGGGGACCAAAAAAAACCCCGAAAAAUAAACUAUUAAGUUGUGACUCUUAAUAUCUCUUGACAAACUAUUGUUAAAGAGAAAAUUCUAUCGACAGAUGACAUUUUAUUGUCUUCGCGAAUAACACGGUAACAAUACUUUCAUUCGAUAACGGCAGGUGCCCCGAUUGUACGGGUUCAGUCUACAUAUACAAAAUAUACCUUUCAGAUAUAUGUGAUAGAAGACAACAAAACAAAUCUCUUAUCUGUAGAAUGUUUUCAUUUUAAACGCAUUUUUAACAAAAUACUAGUAUAAACACAUUAUACACAACGAUAAUCAUUAUCGGUAGACACUUUAUACCUCUUAAGAGCAGUGCUUUCUAACCAACGAGAUGGCGACCGUGAAAAAUUCCGAAAGUCUUUAUUAAUCUGAAUCUCUGGAAAUUCUGUGUAAUUAUUGUUUGUCAGAUUAAGGAGAACAUCCUUAAACAUCGGAUCAAGUGCGACACGUUAACUGUUUAGGAAACCAUCAUCAUAUGGCGAAGACGUUAUAUAUACAGCGACCAAUUAAUCAAGCAUUAACUACCUCUGUCUGUAACAACGGGUCUGUCCUAAUAAGAAGGUUGGCAAACCAGUGGUACAGUAAAUGUAUAUAUAUCAAAAAUUAUUAUAAUCUAUAGCAGUUAUAAAGAAGUGGCGUCCCAUAUAUUAGUAAAUAUAAAUCGGUGGUUUUAGAAACAGUGGUAGCUAUAGGGAGGUUUCCUUUAAAAGUGGUAACUGCGUAUAGACACGUGACCUUUGACAGUGGUAGCUAUAAAAAGGUGACCACCCAAACAGUGGUAGUUAUCCAUUGCAGAUAAGUGGACUCCCGAACAGUUAUAGAAAUAAUAAGGUGGCCUUAAAACAAUGGUAGAUAUAUAUAGAUGGCCUCCCAAAUAGUGGUAGAUAUAGAUAGGUGGCCUCUAAAACACUGGUAUAUGUAGAUAUGUGGCUUCAAAAAUAGUGGUAGCUAUACAAAAACGGUGGCCUCUCAAACAGUGGUAGCUAUGUAUAGGUGGCCUCCCAAACAAUGGUAGAUAAAGAUAGUGGCCUCUCAAACAGUGGUAGCUAUGAAUGGGUGGCCUCGCUAACAGUGGUAGCUAUGGAUGGGUGGCCUCGCUAACAGGGGUAGCUAUGGAUAGGUGGCCUUCCAAACAGUGGUAGAUAUAGAUAGGUGGCCUCCCAAACAGUUGUAGAUAUAGAUAGGUGGCCUCGAAAACAGUUGUAGAUAUAGAUAGGUGGACUCUCAAACAGUGGUAGAUAUAGAUAGGUGGCCGCCAAAACAGUUGUAGAUAUAGAUAGGUGGCAUCCCAAACAGUGGUAGAUAUAGAUAGGUGGACUCUCAAACAGUUGUGGAUAUAGAUAUGUGGCAUCCCAAACAGUUGUAGAUAUAGAUAGGUGGACUCUCAAACAGUUGUGGAUAUAGAUAUGUGGCAUCCCAAACAGUUGUGGA
rnacentral:misc_RNA from 1 species